CCUACGGGAGGCAGCAGUGGGGAAUAUUGCACAAUGGGGGAAACCCUGAUGCAGCGACGCCGCGUGAGUGAAGAAGUAUUUCGGUACGUAAAGCUCUAUCAGCAGGGAAGAAAAUGACGGUACCUGACUACGAAGCCCCGGCUAACUACGUGCCAGCAGCCGCGGUAAUACGGAGGGGGCAAGCGUUAUCCGGAUUUACUGGGUGUAAAGGGAGCGUAGACGGCAGGGCAAGUCUGAGGUGAAAUCCCAGGGCUUAACCAUGGAACUGCCUUGGAAACUGUGCAGCUGGAGUGCAGGAGAGGUAAGCGGAAUGCCUGGUGUAGCGGUGAAAUGCGUAGAUAUUAGGAAGAACACCAGUGGCGAAGGCGGCUUACUGGACUGUAACUGACGUUGAGGCUCGAAAGCGUGGGGAGCAAACAGGAUUAGAUACCCGAGUAGUC
rnacentral:rRNA from 1 species